GACGAACGCUGGCGGCGUGCUUGACACAUUCAAGUCGAACGGUAAGGCCCUUCGGGGUACACGAGUGGCGAACGGGUGCGUAACACGUGGGUGAUCUGCCCUGCACUUCGGGAUAAGCCUGGGCAACUGGGUCUAAUACCGGAUAGGACCACUGCCUGCAUGGGGUGUGGUGGCAAGCUUUUGCGGUGUGGGAUGGGCCCGCGGCCUAUCAGCUUGUUGGUGGGGUGAUGGCCUACCAAGGCGACGACGGGUAGGCGGCCUGAGAGGGUGACCGGCCACACUGGGACUGGGAUACGGCCCAGACUCCUACGGGAGGCAGCAGUGGGAAAUAUUGCACAAUGGGCGCAAGCCUGAUGCAGCGACGCCGCGUGAGGGAUGACGGCCUUCGGGUUGUAAACCUCUUUCAGCACCGACGAAGCGCAAGUGACGGUAGGUGCAGAAGAAGGACCGGCCAACUACGUGCCAGCCGCCGCAGUAA
rnacentral:rRNA from 1 species